UACGUAGGGGGCGAGCGUUGUCCGGAAUCAUUGGGCGUAAAGCGCGUGUAGGCGGCUCGGUAAGUCUGCUGUGAAAGUCCAGGGCUCAACCCUGGGAUGCCGGUCGAUACUGCCGGACUAGAGUUCGGAAGAGGCGAGUGGAAUUCCCGGUGUAGCGGUGAAAUGCGCAGAUAUCGGGAGGAACGACCUGAGGCGGAAGGCGGGCUACUGGGCCGAUACUGACGCUGAGUGCGCGAAAGCCAGGGGAGCGAACGGG
rnacentral:rRNA from 1 species